rnacentral:rRNA from 1 species
CAACAGCUAGAGUUUGAUCCUGGCUCAGGAUGAACGCUGGCGGCGUGCCUAACACAUGCAAGUCGAACGGAGUUAUUUUGGAAAGUUCCUUCGGGGACUGGAAUCUAUAACUUAGUGGCGGACGGGUGAGUAACGCGUGAGCAAUCUGCCUUUAGGAGGGGGAUAACAGUCGGAAACGGCUGCUAAUACCGCAUAAUACGUUUUAGAGGCAUCUCUUAAACGUCAAAGAUUUUAUCGCCUUUAGAUGAGCUCGCGUCUGAUUAGCUAGUUGGCGGGGUAACGGCCCACCAAGGCGACGAUCAGUAGCCGGACUGAGAGGUUGAACGGCCACAUUGGGACUGAGACACGGCCCAGACUCCUACGGGAGGCAGCAGUGGGGAAUAUUGCGCAAUGGGGGCAACCCUGACGCAGCAACGCCGCGUGAUUGAAGAAGGCCUUCGGGUUGUAAAGAUCUUUAAUCAGGGACGAAAAAUGACGGUACCUGAAGAAUAAGCUCCGGCUAACUACGUGCC